rnacentral:rRNA from 1 species
CGGCGACGGGUGAGUAACACGUGGGUAAUCUGCCUUAUACAGGGGGAUAACAGUUAGAAAUGACUGCUAAUACCGCAUAAGCGCACGGAAACGCAUGUUUCAGUGUGAAAAACUCCGGCAGUAUAAGAUGAGCCCGCGUCUGAUUAGCUUGUUGGUGGGGUAACGGCCUACCAAGGCGACGAUCAGUAGCCGGCCUGAGAGGGUGAACGGCCACAUUGGGACUGAGACACGGCCCAAACUCCUACGGGAGGCAGCAG